rnacentral:miRNA from 1 species
UAAGGGGUGUAUGGCAGAUGCA